rnacentral:rRNA from 1 species
AUUGAACGCUGGCGGCAUGCUUUACACAUGCAAGUCGAACGGCAGCGCGGGCUUCGGCCUGGCUGCGAGUGGCGAACGGGUGAGUAAUGCAUCGGAACGUGCCCAGUAGUGGGGGAUAGCCCGGCGACAGCCGGAUUAAUACCGCAUACGACCUGAGGGUGAAAGCGGGGGACCGAAAGGCCUCGCGCUAUUGGAGCGGCCGAUGUCGGAUUAGCUAGUUGGUGGGGUAAAGGCUUACCAAGGCGACGAUCCGUAGCUGGUCUGAGAGGACGACCAGCCACACUGGGACUGAGACACGGCCCAGACUCCUACGGGAGGCAGCAGUGGGGAAUUUUGGACAAUGGGGGCAACCCUGAUCCAGCCAUGCCGCGUGCGGGAAGAAGGCCUUCGGGUUGUAAACCGCUUUUGUUCGGGAAGAAAUCCUGUGGGCUAAUACCCCGGGGGGAUGACGGUACCGGAAGAAUAAGCACCGGCUAACUACGUG